CCUACGGGAGGCAGCAGUGGGGAAUAUUGGACAAUGGGGGGAACCCUGAUCCAGCCAUGCCGCGUGUGUGAAGAAGGCCCUCGGGUUGUAAAGCACUUUCAGUGAGGAAGAACGCCUGGUGGUUAAUACCCAUCAGGAAAGACAUCACUCACAGAAGAAGCACCGGCUAACUCCGUGCCAGCAGCCGCGGUAAUACGGAGGGUGCGAGCGUUAAUCGGAAUUACUGGGCGUAAAGCGCGCGUAGGUGGCUUGAUAAGCCGGUUGUGAAAGCCCCGGGCUCAACCUGGGAACGGCAUCCGGAACUGUCAAGCUAGAGUGCAGGAGAGGAAGGUAGAAUUCGCGGUGUAGCGGUGAAAUGCGUAGAGAUCGGGAGGAAUACCAGUGGCGAAGGCGGCCUUCUGGACUGACACUGACACUGAGGUGCGAAAGCGUGGGUAGCAAACAGGAUUAGAUACCCUGGUAGUC
rnacentral:rRNA from 1 species